rnacentral:hammerhead_ribozyme from 1 species
AUCCAGCUGACGAGUCCCAAAUAGUCAGUCAGUGGUCUUGAGUGCUGUUAGAGGCAUGAGGGAAGUUAUCACUUCCCGGUUGCCCACACCGUGGAAGGGUUUUUCUAGGGGUACCUGAAAAUGAAAUUGGGUUAGAAAUGGUCUUAAUUACCUGAGAGCGUGACCGCAGUGCCCAAGGGACAACUGCUUGAGGUCGGUCACACACCACCUUUUUGUGGGUAGUUUUCGUGUUAGCUCCGUUCUUCAAAGGACCUUACCGCCGGAGACGGAUAUCCGUGGAAUAAGGCAAGGUGUGCAUUUUUAGGGUCGACCUUUUCUAACCCCACCCCUCCUUGUGGGAAGGCAGCAUCGCUGUCAUGAUGGUUGUCUGAAGGAAACACCUUACUGCCGUCACACCUGCCCGCCCACCACCUCAAGGUAGCAGCAACGGUCGGGAGUCCCAAAUAGGACGAAACGCGCGUCCUGGAU